AGAGUUUGAUCAUGGCUCAGGAUGAACGCUAGCGGCAGGCUUAAUACAUGCAAGUCGAGGGGCAGCGCGGGUAGCAAUACCUGGCGGCGACCGGCAAACGGGUGCGGAACACGUACACAACCUUCCCUUGAGGCGGGGGAUAGCCCAGAGAAAUUUGGAUUAAUACCCCAUAAGAUAUUGUCCCGGCAUCGGGAAGAUAUUAAAGAUUUAUCACCUUAGGAUGGGUGUGCGUAUGAUUAGGUAGUUGGUGCGGGUAACGGCCCACCAAGCCAUCGAUCAUUAACUGGUGUGAGAGCACGACCAGUCACACGGGCACUGAGACACGGGCCCGACUCCUACGGGAGGCAGCAGUAAGGAAUAUUGGUCAAUGGACGAAAGUCUGAACCAGCCAUGCCGCGUGAAGGAUGACGGCCCUCUGGGUUGUAAACUUCUUUUAUCUGGGACGAAAAAGGGCCAUUCUUGGUCAACUGACGGUACCAGAGGAAUAAGCACCGGCUAACUCCGUGCCAGCAGCCGCGGUAAUACGGAGGGUGCAAGCGUUAUCCGGAUUUACUGGGUUUAAAGGGAGCGCAGGCGGAUUGGUAAGUCAGUGGUGAAAUACCCGUGCUUAACAUGGGAACUGCCAUUGAUACUAUCAGUCUUGAAUGUUGUUGAGGUUUGCGGAAUGGGUCAUGUAGCGGUGAAAUGCAUAGAUAUGACCCGGAACACCUAUUGCGAAGGCAGCAGGCUAAACAAAUAUUGACGCUGAGGCUCGAAAGCGUGGGGAUCAAACAGGAUUAGAUACCCUAGUAGUCC
rnacentral:rRNA from 1 species